CAGCCGCCGGGUAAAACGCAGGGGGCUAGCGUUGCUCGGAAUUACUGGGCGUAAAGGGAGCGUAGGCGGGUCGUUUAGUCAGAGGUGAAAUCCCGGGGCUCAACCUCGGAACUGCCUUUGAUACUGGCGACCUUGAGUAUGGGAGAGGUAAGCGGAACUCCGAGUGUAGAGGUGAAAUUCGUAGAUAUUCGGAAGAACACCAGUGGCGAAGGCGGCUUACUGGCCCAUUACUGACGCUGAGGCUCGAAAGCGUGGGGAGCAAACAGGAUUAGAGACCCCUGUAGUCCCUGUCUCUUAUACA
rnacentral:rRNA from 1 species